rnacentral:lncRNA from 1 species
AGUCUGAGCCUCCGGCACCGGCCGCGCAGCUGGAGGCGGCGGAGCGGAAGCCUUGACUUCAUCUCAGCUCCAGAGCCCGCCCUCUCUUCCUGCAGCCUGGGAACUUCAGCCGGCUGGAGGUCAGUUCCCCUCCCCAGGGAAGGAGGAAGUGAGGGAAGCUGCGAAGGUGUGAUGAACUGUGCAGAUGCUCGCUGUGUGUGCUGGGGGUGGGGGACACAUGGAAGCCCGGGAAGCUGACUCCUUGCCCUGAGUCACAGGGAGGGGUGGGCAGGGCAUGCGGGUGAGCUGGACUGAGGGAGGAAGGGGCUGUUCCAGAGUGGGUGGAGGUGAUUCCCUGGUGGAUUCUUCUCAGUCACUGUGCUGUGGUAGAUGUGUGGCUCCCUACAGUGUGGUCAUUGUCCCCUGCCGGGGGCUGAGUGACCCAGUGUUGCUGGCAGGCCUAGGAGGAAGGGGGGAGGAAGGCAGCCUGCCCAAACUCGAGCUGUGGGCAUUGCUGGGACUGAGCCUCCUUUGUAUUACUUGGGGCUUUGGGGACCGGGUGGGGUGGACCAGGGAAGCUGGCUGGCUGCUACCCCUGUC